CUAUCUUCUGGCUGCACUUGUCGCUCAUUCGUGUUCAAAGCCGUAAAAUUGUCACUGAUUAAAAAAAGAAAGAAACGGAAUUAAUUCGUCGUUAAUUAAUUAAAUAAAAACUCCAUUUAUGUGACAUAUUUUCUGGUUUUCCAUAUUAGCUUAAGUGAAAAAGACGAACUAAUUAAAGAGAUUUCGAAUGGCAGACAGCAUAUCAGUGGAGAAUCUUGUGCACUUUAUUAUUAAAGUCAGCAAACAGAGCAAUCAGUAUAAAUUACGGCAAAUAAAACCGAAGAUUUAUUAUCUACCUGCAGGGGAGACGAGAACAACGACGGACGAAAAAUGUACAAGAAAGAAUCGUGAGAGUGCACGUGCUGCAUGAGUAAAGAAUAAGAAAAUGAAAUCCCAUGAAUUAUUAAAAGAAAAUUUCCGCA